AUGCACUGGGCAUAGUAUUCGUAAUCAUGGUGGUGCCUGAGACAAAAGGCAGAACCUUGGAACAGAUACAAGCAGCCAUUAACAGUUAAGAGCAAGAUCACUUUGAGCCGGUCUGGCUGUUUCGGGUUGAAGCUCCAAGGAGAGAAGUGAAUGAAAGAAGAAGAACUGUUUCAUACAAAGAUUAUCAAUUGGAUAUAUGAGAUAGAAGAGAGUUGGUUUCAGUGUCACUCUCAAAGAUUUUUCAUCUGUUUUUGCUAUUUAUAUAAAGAAUCUAGCCAAUAUUCAUUCUCCAACUACAAUAGUAUAGUUCCACUGUUCUAACCAAUUCUUGUUAAAAUUACGGAUUUAACUUGCGAGCUCGUUAGAACCUGCAAACGAACCAAUCUCUAGCCGAAUCGAACCGAAUUUGAGCUCGAACAAAAUUAGUCUAGCCGAAAUCAAGCUUGUCUAUAUACCAAACGAGCUGAGCGAUACAGCUUGGUGACUCAGUUUUACUCGGUUUGGUUAGUAAGCAGCUCUUUGGACCAUUAAUUGCUACUAUUUCUGUCGGACCCAUGUUUCAUUUUCACUUGAUUUUCUAAUCUUUUAAAAGGAGCCACCAAAGUGGACCAAAAACAGUAGAGUGAGAUCCACUAAUACAGCUUUUGUUUAUCGGCAAAAUUAAAAAUAUCGCUCACUGAAAUAGUCAAGCGCUGUCUUUUUGUUGCUUUUGUCCUUUCUGAUACAAUCAUUUUGUUUCUAAAUGGAUAAGCACUGUUCAUCAAUUACACUAACUGUGAUUAUUUCGCUUUAAAACUCUCAUCACCAAUCACUACAUUAUCAUAACCAGCAUCCAACCGUGUACAUACAUAACCACCAUCAUCAUCCUUCCACCGGCAUUUCCCGUCUCUUGACAAAAUGUCAAUCAAGGAAGCCGUGGAGAAAAACAAUCAUACUGAUACUGAAAACAACACGAGGGAGCCAUUCAUACGGAAGAAUCAUUACACAUACGAGGAAGAUGGGUCGUCGGAGAACAAGAGUGGGAGCCUAUGGAUGGUCUACUUCAGCACUUUCGUUGCCAUCUGUGGUGCUUACGAGUUCGGUUGCUGCGUAAGUACUCUAUUUCCCCCCAACUUUGUUGUUUUUGUCGUCCUUGGUUGCUCUUGUUGUCUAAAGUUGGUUCCUUUUUUGGUGUUCAGGUGGGAUUUUCGUCACCCACCCAAGACGCAAUUAGGAAAGAUCUUUCACUGUCUCUGGCCGAGGUACACUCAAAUUUUUGGCACUUGAAUUUGAAAUACCCAUUUCCUUGAAAUUGCAGUUGUAGGAACUUUGACUCCGUAGAGUUGCAACUUUAUAAUUUGAAUUGUUGGGAGAAGGUCUAAACUGGUAUUUUUAUAUUAUUGAUCAAACAAGGCCCCCUCAAAUGGAAAGGCUCUCAAAAGAACUGAAUUUUUGCACAAUUUCAGUAAAUCAUAUGUACGGAUUUGGGACUAUCAUGUCAUGAAUGGUUGCAAUAACUUGAAUUGUUGAGAAAAUGUUUAUAUUGAUGUUUAUAAUAUUCAUCGGACAACUUUAUUUUGCAGUAUUCAAUGUUUGGUUCCAUUUUGACGUUUGGAGCAAUGAUUGGUGCUGCUACUAGCGGAUAUUUGGCUGAUCAACUUGGUCGCAAAGGGGUAAACUUCAUUGAUUUCAACCACCCUUAACACAAAAAACCACACUACUUUAGCUUUUUCCAGUUGUAACACAGAGCUAGUUUAUAUGCAGGCAAUGAGAUUGUCAAGUGCCUUCUGUGUAGCUGGCUGGCUAGCCAUUUACUUUGCUCAGGUACUGUUCCUCGGUUUUUAUUAUGAUCAAAUAAAAUCAACUUUCUGUUUGUCAGGAAUCUUAAUAUGUGAUGUUCUUCUUCAUAUUUGGUUAACAAAAUGAAAAAGGAUGCAGUGGCAUUGGACAUUGGUAGAUUGGCAACUGGCUAUGGAAUGGGAGUGUUCUCCUAUGUGGUUGGUAUCCUUGUUUAUGUCAUAAUCGAUUCAAAUUGAAUGUGUUGAAUUGAUGACGAUGAUGAGGAUGAUCGCAUAUAGGUGCCAGUUUUCAUAUCCGAGAUAGCGCCCAAAAACCUUCGAGGAGCUUUAGCUACAUUGAAUCAGGUCAUGAUCAGUGGUGGAGUCUCGUUGUCCUUCGUUAUAGGCACAUUUCUAACGUGGAGGGCUCUUGCUUUAACUGGUAAUAAAGAGAGAAACUUGCUUCACUGUGGUCUUUUUUAUAGAUAAAUCUCAUUUCUCCUGAACGUUGUGCAUUUUGCAGGACUAAUCCCUUGUGCAAUCCUACUUGUCGGGCUGAUGUUCAUGCCCGAAUCUCCUAGAUGGCUAGCAAAGAUAGGCAACCAGAAGGAUUUCGAAAUUGCGCUGCAGAAACUCCGCGGCAAGGAUGCUGACAUUUCGAAAGAGGCUGAUGAGAUCAAGGAAUACAUUGAGACACUCGACCGGCUCCCCAAAGUAAAGAUGAUGGACUUGUUCAAUAGAAGAUACCUAAGAUCAGUCAUUGUGAGUCCACAGUCCCUUGCAGUCUUCAAAGUUCAAUCCUUUAUUAGUUUCAGUGGUGGCAAAAGUUUGUAUCUUUGUUCUUAUAAAUGAAGGCAUUCUGUUUUUCUUGGUUGGUAGAUUGGUGUUGGGUUGAUGCUGGCCCAGCAAUUUGGAGGAAUUAAUGCAGUCUGCUUCUAUGGCAGCAAUAUAUUCAAAUCAGCAGGUGAAUGGAAUAACCAGUUAUACUCUUUUCACUUUUGUGAAUCAAGCCAAUGCAAAGUUCCUCACAAUCAAUUUUGGAAAUUUGGUUUUGUCAGGAUUCUCUCCUGAUAUUGGAACUAUUACCUAUGCCAUUAUCCAGAUGGUAGUGUCACUGCUAAUCACACAAGUGAUUGACAGAGCAGGAAGGAAGCCUCUUUUACUGGUUUCAGGAUCUGGUUUAGUACUAGCUUGCUCAAUGACAGCCCUUUCAUUCUACCUCAAGGUUCUUUCUCAUACUAUAAUACCAUCCUUUAACAAUGUUAACUGACAUUUUUAGUGACAUGUGUUAUGCAUUUUUGUGCUGUAUAUAUAACAGGUUAAUGAAUUGGCUCUCCACAUUGUCCCAAUGAUGGCUGUAACCGGCAUAUCGGUAAGGAAGGACCAAAUCCAGAACACCUUGAACUAAUCCGGUCUACCAUCUGGAACCCUAAAGGCUGAAUCUUUUAACACUUUCUUUCUGUUGUGUCCGAGUUGCAGUUAUACAUUGGAUUCUAUUCAGUUGGAAUGGGUGCUGUUCCAUGGGUCGUUAUGUCCGAGGUAAAAAUCGAUAUUUCACAGAAAGCUUCGCUGUGAAAAAGUAUCAGAUGAACUGAUUCAACUGUUGGUUUUUUUUUCUUUGUACCUGUAGAUAUUCCCAAUAAACAUAAAGGGAGUAGGUGGAGGAUUUGCAACACUGGUGAACUGGUUUGGUGCAUGGGCAGUUUCCUACACUUACAACUUUCUCAUGGUUUGGAGCUCCUAUGGUAAUUACUUAGCAUAUAUUGUUUCAUUGGCUUUCUACUGUAACUCCCUCCCUUUCAGAAUUUUACCACAAUUUCUUUGCUGUUGUGUUAUGGUGUGCAGGUACAUUUCUUAUAUUUGCUGGAGUCAACGCACUAGCGAUAGUAUUUGUAAUCAUGGUGUUACCAGAGACAAAAGGCAGAACCUUGGAACAGAUACAGGCAGCCAUUAAUCGUUAGACAAGAAGACAACUAUCGAACCGGUUUGGGAAUCUUUAUCUCGAAUUGAAGACCCCGAUUGCGAGAAAGGUGAAUGAAAGAAGAAUUCAACUCCUUCCUGCAAGACAAUCGAUGCACAUGUGAAAUAGGGAAAUUAGUUGAUUGUGAUUCUCAAAGUUAUCUUUCAUUUUGGGUUCUCCUAUGAUAUAAUAAGGAAUCUGGCCAUAACUCUCAUUCAGGCAGCUGGGCACCUCCCACUUUAUCUAUACAUUUUGUGUACCCAUAGCAUGUGCCAAGUAGCAAGUGUUCAUUUGUGGUGUAGGUGACAUGAUGGGGCCUAAAAUUCGAAUUUAUCGCCUUGAAGUGUAGUAAAAUUACUCUAUUGCCUUUCGCAAAUUUUUUAUUAACAUUAAAACCCC
rnacentral:lncRNA from 1 species